UCCAACGAGCCCAAAUUUUGAAAUGGGCUUCUUUUGUAUCCCUGCGAAUCAUGUCCCUCGCUCCAUGAAGCUUUCUUGGCCCCAAAUUUAAUACAGGGACUUUCAAUGUAACGAGUGGACUCCGAGUCUCAAUUUUUCUUGUAUAGAAUUCGGAGGCAUGCUUCAAACAUCUAUUUCGGGCAUCAGAAAGACUUUUCAAAGGCCCAGACACCCAUCAAACUUUUCAAAGGCCCAAUCUUCCCGGAGUCCCAAAUGUGAUGAGGACACCCAGCUGUAAUUUCAUUUUAUCCUUUUUUCCUUUACUUUCAAUUCUCCUUCUUUCCUGUGCGCUCCGUUUUAUACCAAACCAGGUAGAACACGAGCUCAACGCUGAUCUCCCGCGAGGUCGAAUUGGAGAUGGAUUUGAAGACACAAUCUGACUUGAAGGAGUUGAAAUUGGAGGCUGGAAGAGAACACAUGUGGAAGACGAGACCGUGGCCGGCUUUACAGGAGAAGAAAUUUCGACGUCCUGCCGCAAUUGGCUUCUGGGAGAAUUUUUGUAUUCAAGAAGGACCAGGUGAUUAUAGUCACAGUAAUGUCAAAGUCUUGAAGCUUUAUUUUAAGGGUGAGCAUCUUCUUCCAAGUGCCAGUUCUGGUUUCAUCUCGUUGGCAGACAUGAAUUUUAGAGUCUGCUGCAGAACUGUAUUUAUUUUGACAGCCUCUCUCCGUCUCCUUCCUCUGAAUCAUUAGGUCGGGACUGGCUUAUUUUUGGCUAUAGCACGUGUAGUGUUUAAGUGAAAUUGACAGAGUUCCCUUAUUUUUAUCAUCAUUUUUAAUUUGAACCAAGACCUCUUAUGAAAGCAUAGCCUGGAUGAUGAUUCGUGUGAGGUCCUCUGCCAGUCUCGGUGUAUUAAACUGCUGAAACAUGAGGAUAAUAACGGCACCCUAAGGCACGCCGUGUCAAAGUUCUGAAACAGUAUUGGCACCGUGAGGCACCGCCACCGGAGCUUUGAAAGCAGUUUCGGCACCCUAAGGCACGCCGAGUCGAAGUUCUGAAACAGUAUUGGCACCGUGAGGCACCGCCACCGGAGCUUCGAAAGUAGUUUCGGCACCCUAAGGCACGCCGAAUGAAGCUCUGAAACAGUAUUGGCACCGAAAGGCACCGCCACCGGAGCUUUGAAAGUGGUAAAACCAUAAAGAGAUGCAGACGGAUUCUCCACCUUUGAUUCCUGUGGAACAGCUGCGGCUCCUUCUCUGUCUCCUUUGCUUUUCUUCUCCUGCUGCCUCUUUUUUUCCUUUCAUGUAGUGCUUUUAUAUUGCACCGAUCUUGAGUUUGGUUUGUAUAAAACAUAGAGUUUUAGAGUUCAACUUGGAGUGAACUAUUUGGGGAACUUGUAUUCCGUGAAGACUACAACUCUUGUAUUUUGUAAUUGCUUUGUAAUCUAGAUUUUGACAAAACAAGAAGUCUGACGUCUUGUAAAAAUCCAAUAGACCAGCUUAAUGACUCUUGUGCUU